rnacentral:rRNA from 1 species
CGUCAAGUCAGCAUGGCCCUUACGUCCUGGGCUACACCCACGCUACAAUGGCCGGUACAGCGGGCUGCGAAACCGCGAGGUGGAGCGAAUCCCUCAAAGCCGGUCUCAGUUCGGAUUGUAGGCUGCAACUCGCCUACAUGAAGCCGGAGUUGCUAGUAACCGCGGGUCAGCAUACCGCGGUGAAUACGUUCCCGGGCCUU